rnacentral:rRNA from 1 species
GACGAACGCUGGCGGCGUGCUUAACACAUGCAAGUCGAACGGAAAGGCCCUGCUUUUGUGGGGUGCUCGAGUGGCGAACGGGUGCGUAACACGUGAGUAACCUGCCCUUGACUUUGGGAUAACUUCAGGAAACUGGGGCUAAGACCGUAUAGGAGCCCCCGCUGCAUGGUGGGGGUUGGAACGUUUCGGCGGUCGGGGAUGGACUCGCGGCUGACCAGCUAGUUGGUGGGGGAGUGGCUUACCCAGCCUUUGACUGGUAGCCGGCCUGAGAGGGUGACCGGGCACCUGAGGACUGCGAUACGGACCAGAGUGCUACAGGAGGCAGUGGUGGGGAGCCUUGCACAGUCGGAGGGAGCGUGAGACAGCGACGCCGCGUUCGGGAUGACGGCCUUCUGGGUGUAAACCGCUUUCGGCUGAUACGAAGCGUGUGUGACGGUAAUGGGUGAAGAAGCACCGGCUAACUACGUG